GCCACAAGAAGAAAUAUCCUAAUAUUUAGAAACCUAUCUCCUUUGGACAGACAGACUCUCAAAAUUAAAGCACCUUUGCAACAUAAUGCUCCAUGCAAUUUUUAGUUAAAAUACACAAUAACCUCCUUUGGGAAGGUGAUUAUAUGCCAUAAUCAGAAAAUAUCUCUCUCCUAAUGUGGGCUGACAUAAAUAAACUAAAUAUUCAUGCCAACCCAUAAAAUUAUCCAUAUAAAAAAAUAAAUAUUCAAAUAAAUACAAAUUGGCAUACUUUAACCACAUGUAUGCUUACAAACGAUUAAGUCCAAAAUGGGAUACUUAACAACAUGCACCCCACU
rnacentral:lncRNA from 1 species